UCCCUGGUGACUCAGAGGUUAAAGUGUCUGCCUGGGAUGCAGGAGACACGGGUUCGAUCCCUGGGUUGGGAA
rfam:TPA: Bos taurus chromosome 16, whole genome shotgun sequence.